GACGAACGCUGGCGGCGCGCCUAACACAUGCAAGUCGAACGGAGUCAAGAGGAGCUUGCUUUUCUUGACUUAGUGGCGAACGGGUGAGUAACGCGUGAGUAACUUGCCCUGGAGUGGGGGACAACAGUUGGAAACGACUGCUAAUACCGCAUAAGCCCACGGAUCUGCAUGGAUCUGCGGGAAAAGGAUUUAUUCGCUCUAGGAUGGACUCGCGUCCAAUUAGCUAGUUGGUGAGGUAACGGCCCACCAAGGCGACGAUUGGUAGCCGGACUGAGAGGUUGAACGGCCACAUUGGGACUGAGACACGGCCCAGACUCCUACGGGAGGCAGCAGUGGGGGAUAUUGCACAAUGGGGGAAACCCUGAUGCAGCGACGCCGCGUGGAGGAAGAAGGUUUUCGGAUUGUAAACUCCUGUCGUUAGGGACGAUAAUGACGGUACCUAACAAGAAAGCACCAGCUAACUACGUG
rnacentral:rRNA from 1 species